rnacentral:rRNA from 1 species
UUCGCAAUGCCCGAAAGGGUGACGAAGCGACGCCGCGUGCGGGAAGAAGGCCUUCGGGUUGUAAACCGCUGUCGGGAGUUAAGAAAUGCAAGGAUAUUAAUAGUGUCUUUGUUUGACUAAGGCUCCGGAGGAAGCCACGGCUAACUCUGUGCCAGCAGCCGCGGUAAUACAGAGGCGGCAAGCGUUGUUCGGAAUUAUUGGGCGUAAAGAGCACGUAGGCGGCUAUGUAAGUCGGUUGUGAAAGCCUUCCGCUCAACGGGAGAACAGCAUCCGAUACUGCAUGGCUUGAGUGCGGGAGGGGAGAGUGGAACUUCUGGUGGAGCGGUGAAAUGCGUAGAUAUCAGAAGGAACGCCGGCGGCGAAAGCGGCUCUCUGGCCCAUAACUGACGCUGAGUGUGCGAAAGCUAGGGGAGCAAACGGGAUUAGAUACCCCGGUAGUCCUAGCCGUAAACGAUGGGCACUAAGUAGAGGGGUUUUA